GAGGGACCCAGAGACAGCACGGCUCCUUCCAGAAAGAGAGUCAUCAAGAGUGACUUCCCCCUUUUCAGGCGGUGAGGAGAGCCGGAGGAUCCUGUGAUGCUGCUGAGGGCUGGGGAGCCUUGGAGAGAGAGAUGAAGAAAUUAAAAUUCAGAGAGAUUAAGGACCUGGUCUAAGGCUAUAUGGCUCAAAAGAAGGAAGAAUAAAACCUAGAUCUGUGUCAUUUCACGGCUUUGUAGGUCCUCUGUGACACGAGAAAUUUAAUUUCUAAGCUUCCAAUCCACUAACCGAAAAUACUACUUGGUGAUACCUACAAGAUGACCAAAAAACUACAAACUGCUUCCUUUUUGCAGAAGUCUGCCUUGAACAAAUGAACUUCAAACCUCAGCACUCCAGGAUGCUCCACAUCAAAAGAAGGCUUCUGAGCAGGGCAAAAGCUUCUCUGGGACAAUCCAUUAACAAGUCAGAGUACAGUACAAUGUUGAAUCAUUUCAUGUAUUUUCCAUCUGAGAAGCCAGAGAAAAGGAACUGGAAGUCUUAGGAGUGGAAAAAAGAAAAAAAGCAAAAUACAAGGAAAGGGACUUCCCUGGUAGUGCAGUGGAUAAGAAUCCGCCUGCCAAUGGAGAGGACAUGGGUUCAGUCUCAGAAGAUCCCACAUGCCACAGAGCAUCUAAGCCCAUGUACUAUGACUACUGAAGACUGCACCCUCUAGAGCCUCCACCACAAGACAAGUCACUGCAAGGAGAAGCCUGUGCACCACAACGAAGAACAGCCCUCACUUACAGCAACGAGAAAAAGCCUUUACAAAGCAAAAUAAAGACCCAGCAUAGCCAAAAAUAAAAUAAAUAAAAUUAAAAAAAAUAAAGAAAGGACUAUGAA